GCGAAAGAAGCCAGAGUGUGUGUUUUUGUGUUGUUCGCGAUUUUGUUCGAGGAUUAGCGCAUGUUAGGAGUAGCUAUAAAUUUAGUGGAGACUUUGCCAGCAAGUGUGGUGAAAACAAAAGCCGUUCGACGGCUUUUUACGUUUUAUUUAAAAGCGCUUGGCGAAGCCAUAAAACCCACCGCCAGCAAAGUACAUCCACCCUCCUACCGCACACUUCUGGGACCCACCGUCAGCCAGGACAAGGCCCGUUCCGCCAGCCGCCGCACACUUAGGCGGCCUAUGCUGAUUCGCUGAUCGGACUGAUCGGCGCGUGCUGUAGCAGUUAUCGACGCCAUUGCAGAAACCACGACCGUACCUGGAUGGGGCGGUGAUUGCAGAUUGAACCGAUUGCUGUCGGAUGCUGAAUAAGUAGAAAGGAGAGGUAGUAGCCGCCGAUCGAGUGAGUACGAACCAUAAAAAUCCCUGCGCAGGUUGAUAUAAACCAGUUAAGCCAAGACCCCCACCUUGAGAGAAGCUUUAUGGCGUAGCCAUUAGACACUCCACCCACGCACACUAUAGGUUAGUGAGCUAGGUAUAG